rnacentral:rRNA from 1 species
GACGAACGCUGGCGGCGUGCUUAACACAUGCAAGUCGAGCGGUAAGGCCCUUUCGGGGGUACACGAGCGGCGAACGGGUGAGUAACACGUGGGUGACCUGCCCUCAGCUCUGGGAUAAGCCUGGGAAACCGGGUCUAAUACUGGAUAUGACUCCAUGACGCAUGUUGUGGGUGGAAAGCCUUGUGCGGCUGAGGAUGGGCCCGCGGCCUAUCAGCUUGU